rnacentral:rRNA from 1 species
GACAGAGGCCUCAAGCGUUAGGCGGAAUCACUGGGCUUAAAGCGUGUGUAGGCGGAUCGUUAAGUGUCUUGUGAAAUCCCACGGCUCACCCGUGGAACCGCUGGGCAUACUGGCGAUCUCGGGCCAUUCAGGGGCGACUGGAACAAGCGGUGGAGCGGUGAAAUGCGUAGAUAUCGCUUGGAACGCCGAAGGUGAAAACAGGUCGCUGGGGAUGUGCCGACGCUGAGACACGAAAGCCAGGGGAGCAAACGGG